rnacentral:rRNA from 1 species
UAAACCGCUAAGAAGCAAACGGGUGGGCCCGCAAAGUGGCGCGGAAGAUUCAACGCGUUCGGGAGCACGUCCGUUUCUCUGCUGGAUCCGCAAGGACCGCUGGGUUGCGGAUUGUGCCUCCGUCGCGUGCACUUUUUCCGUGCGCAGAGCUGACGACCGGCUGGAGGUCCACGAGAAGGCCGAUCGGCAGGUUCCUCCCAUGGUCGUUCGCGGCCCGGGAGAGCUUAUAGCCGGUCUCCAACGGCUGGACGCCCGGUCGAGGAAGGGAAUCCGCGUCUGCCCCUAGUGGGCUGGGCCGCCUGUCUCCCGCGAGUUGCGUCGGAGCGGGACUGUUCUCAGUGUCGUUCUGGCCUAGCUUACGGCUGUGCAGGUCUGGUCUCAUCAGACGCUUAAGGUCAGUCAGCGAGGUCGGUAGCCCACCCGACCCGUCUUGAAACACGGACCAAGGAGUCUAACACGCCCGCAAGUCGUAGGGACUUUGAAGCCCGAAGGCGCAAUGAAAGUGAAGGCCAGUCCGUCUGGCCGAGGUGGGAUCCCGUUGCUCGGCGGCGGGCGCACCACUGCCCCGUCUCGAUCGCUCCUGUCGRCGAGGCGGAGGAGGAGCGUGUGCGUUAGGACCCGAAAGAUGGUGAACUAUGCCUGAGCAGGACGAAGCCAGAG